rnacentral:rRNA from 1 species
GGCCUCAGAUCAGGCGAGAUCACCCGCUGAAUUUAAGCAUAUCAAUAAGCGGAGGAAGAGAAACUAACCAGGAUUCCCUCAGUAGCGGCGAGUGAAGCGGGAGAUGUCCAAGCUUGGAAUCCCUGUCGGGUUCACCGGAGGGAAUUGUAGUCUGAAGAGGGGCCUUCUCUGGGUGGGCACUGCUUUCCAAGUCGCCGUGGCAAAGCGCGCCUGAGAGGGUGAUAGCCCCGUCCCUGAUUGCGGCUGGCCUGCCCUUUGCGAGGCCCCCUCGGAGAGUCGGGCUGUUUGGGAAUGCAACCCAAAGUGGGUGGUAGACUCCAUCCAAGACUAAGCAAGCGUGCGAGACCGAUAGCGAAC